AAUACGUANAANACUAGUGUUAUUCAUCUUUAAUAGGUUUAAAGGGUACCUAGACGGUAAAUCANGUCCUAAAAGGAUACUAAUUUACUAGAGUUUAAUGUGAGGGGGCACUAAAGUACUGAUAAGUGUANAGAUGAAAUUCUGUGAUACAAUAUACGGCACUGGUAAAGGCGAAAGCAUCUCAUUAUGUAAUAACUGACGUUGAGGGACGAAGGCUAGGUGUAGCAAAAAGGAUUAGAUACCCAAGUAGUCUUAGCAGAAAAUUAUGAAUGUCAUAGGAUAGAAAAAGGGACAAAAUUUUUUUUUCUAUAAAUGAAAGUGUAAGCAUUCCACCUCGAGAGUAAUUUGGCAACAUUGGAACUGAAAUCAUUAGACCGUUUCUGAAACAAGUAGUGAAGUAUGUUGUUUAAUUUGAUAGUCCGCAAAAAACCUUACCACAAUUUGAAUAGAAAAUUUUCUUUCAUACAAGCGCUGCACGGUUGUCUUCAGUUAAUGUCGUGAGAUCUUGGUUAGUUCCAUUAAAUUAACGUAAACCCUUAUUUUAUUUUUAUAUAGAGUAGUUCACCGCUAGAUUGGAUGUGAUAACAGGGACUAAGACAAGUCAUCAUGGCCUUAAUAUUGUGGGCUAUAGACGUGCCACAUA
rnacentral:rRNA from 1 species